rnacentral:tRNA from 1 species
CUCCGACUAGCUCAAUUGGAUAGAGCAAUUGCCUUCUAAGCAAUAGGUUUCAGGUUCGAGCCCUGAGUCGGAGGCCA